GACGAACGCUGGCGGCGUGCCUAAUACAUGCAAGUAGGACGCAGUUGCGAACGGGGGAGUAACGCGUAGGUAACUGCCUACCAGUGGGGGAUAACUAUUGGAAACGAUAGCUAAUACCGCAUACUUGUAGAUGGAUCUGCGUUGUAUUAGCUAGUAGGUAGGGUAAUGGCCUACCUAGGCGACGAUACAUAGCCGACCUGGUAGGGGGAUCGGCCAGACUUGGACUGAGACCCGGCCCAGGCUCCUUCGGGAGGCGGCCGUAGGGAAACUUCGGCAAUGGGGGGAGACCUGGCCGAACAAGGCCACGUGGGUGGAGAGGGUUUUCGGAUCGUAAAGCUCUGUUGUUAAGGUAGCGGUACUUACCCAGAAAGGACCGGCUAACUACGUGCCAGCAGCCGCGGUAAUAC
rnacentral:rRNA from 1 species